rnacentral:rRNA from 1 species
GGGAAACUGCCUGAUGGAGGGGGAUAACUACUGGAAACGGUAGCUAAUACCGCAUAACGUCGCAAGACCAAAGAGGGGGACCUUCGGGCCUCUUGCCAUCAGAUGUGCCCAGAUGGGAUUAGCUAGUAGGUGGGGUAACGGCUCACCUAGGCGACGAUCCCUAGCUGGUCUGAGAGGAUGACCAGCCACACUGGAACUGAGACACGGUCCAGACUCCUACGGGAGGCAGCAGUGGGGAAUAUUGCACAAUGGGCGCAAGCCUGAUGCAGCCAUGCCGCGUGUAUGAAGAAGGCCUUCGGGUUGUAAAGUACUUUCAGCGGGGAGGAAGGUGUUGAGGUUAAUAACCUCAGCAAUUGACGUUACCCGCAGAAGAAGCACCGGCUAACUCCGUGCCAGCAGCCGCGGUAAUACGGAGGGUGCAAGCGUUAAUCGGAAUUACUGGGCGUAAAGCGCACGCAGGCGGUCUGUCAAGUCGGAUGUGAAAUCCCCGGGCUCAACCUGGGAACUGCAUUCGAAACUGGCAGGCUAGAGUCUUGUAGAGGGGGGUAGAAUUCCAGGU